UACGGAGGGUGCGAGCGUUGUCCGGAUUUAUUGGGCGUAAAGAGCUCGUAGGCGGCUUGUUGCGUCGUCCGUGAAAACCCGCAGCUCAACUGCGGGCUUGCGGACGAUACGGGCAGGCUGGAGUUCGGUAGGGGAGACUGGAAUUCCUGGUGUAGCGGUGAAAUGCGCAGAUAUCAGGAGGAACACCGGUGGCGAAGGCGGGUCUCUGGGCCGAUACUGACGCUGAGGAGCGAAAGCGUGGGGAGCGAACAGG
rnacentral:rRNA from 1 species